CACAGAGUUAGCCGGUGCUCUUCUGAGGGUAACGUCAUUAUCCUCCCCUCUGAAAGUGCUUUACAACCCGCAGGCCUUCUUCACACACGCGGCAUUGCUGGAUCAGGCUUUCGCCCAUUGUCCAAUAUUCCCC
rnacentral:rRNA from 1 species